rnacentral:rRNA from 1 species
GCGGCGUGCCUAAUACAUGCAAGUCGAGCGAAUCUGAGGGAGCUUGCUCCCAAAGAUUAGCGGCGGACGGGUGAGUAACACGUGGGCAACCUGCCUGUAAGACUGGGAUAACUUCGGGAAACCGGAGCUAAUACCGGAUAAUCCCUUUCCUCACAUGAGGAAAGGCUGAAAGACGGUUUCGGCUGUCACUUACAGAUGGGCCCGCGGCGCAUUAGCUAGUUGGUGAGGUAACGGCUCACCAAGGCCACGAUGCGUAGCCGACCUGAGAGGGUGAUCGGCCACACUGGGACUGAGACACGGCCCAGACUCCUACGGGAGGCAGCAGUAGGGAAUCUUCCGCAAUGGACGAAAGUCUGACGGAGCAACGCCGCGUGAGUGAUGAAGGUUUUCGGAUCGUAAAACUCUGUUGUUAGGGAAGAACAAGUAUCGGAGUAACUGCCGGUACCUUGACGGUACCUAACCAGAAAGCCACGGCUAACUACGUGCCAGCAGCCGCGGUAAUACGUAGGUGGCAAGCGUUGUCCGGAAUUAUUGGGCGUAAAGCGCGCGCAGGUGGUUCCUUAAGUCUGAUGUGAAAGCCCACGGCUCAACCGUGGAGGGUCAUUGGAAACUGGGGAACUUGAGUGCAGAAGAGGAAAGUGGAAUUCCAAGUGUAGCGGUGAAAUGCGUAGAGAUUUGGAGGAACACCAGUGGCGAAGGCGACUUUCUGGUCUGUAACUGACACUGAGGCGCGAAAGCGUGGGGAGCGAACAGGAUUAGAUACCCUGGUAGUCCACGCCGUAAACGAUGAGUGCUAAGUGUUAGAGGGUUUCCGCCCUUUAGUGCUGCAGCAAACGCAUUAAGCACUCCGCCUGGGGAGUACGACCGCAAGGUUGAAACUCAAAGGAAUUGACGGGGGCCCGCACAAGCGGUGGAGCAUGUGGUUUAAUUCGAAGCAACGCGAAGAACCUUACCAGGUCUUGACAUCCUCUGACAAUCCUAGAGAUAGGACGUUCCCCUUCGGGGGACAGAGUGACAGGUGGUGCAUGGUUGUCGUCAGCUCGUGUCGUGAGAUGUUGGGUUAAGUCCCGCAACGAGCGCAACCCUUGAUCUUAGUUGCCAGCAUUCAGUUGGGCACUCUAAGGUGACUGCCGGUGACAAACCGGAGGAAGGUGGGGAUGACGUCAAAUCAUCAUGCCCCUUAUGACCUGGGCUACACACGUGCUACAAUGGAUGGUACAAAGGGCUGCAAGACCGCGAGGUUUAGCCAAUCCCAUAAAACCAUUCUCAGUUCGGAUUGCAGGCUGCAACUCGCCUGCAUGAAGCCGGAAUCGCUAGUAAUCGCGGAUCAGCAUGCCGCGGUGAAUACGUUCCCGGGCCUUGUACACACCGCCCGUCACACCACGAGAGUUUGUAACACCCGAAGUCGGUGGGGUAACCUUUUGGAGCCAGCCGCCUAAGGUGGGACAGAUGA